rnacentral:lncRNA from 10 species
AGUCUGAGAAAAAAUGUCAAAGGUAGUGCCAAAAUUGUCACUUAAAGAACUGCAGGAAUGGAGUUGGCAUUUACAGAAUUUGGAAGAGAAGCAGGUUUAGUGAUAAAGACCAGAAGCACAGAGCUAAGCAUAUUAAAUAUUGAGGACAUGAAGAGGAAAGAACUGACAGAGGAGGUGAAGAAAGGUGAUCAGGAAGAGCCAUCAAAGUGUUAUCCUGGAAUUCAAGUGAAGACAGUGUUUCAAAGUGGAAAUGAACAGUGUCCUGUAACCCUCAGAGUGAGACUAGAGUCAGAAUGCAGGCUUUUCUCAUUUGAAAUCUAGUGAUUGUGCUACCAAGGCCUGAAACUUCGGAAAAACCUGCAUAACACAAAAUAUAAAAUAUGCCACAGAGAGGAUCCAGAGAGCCCAUCUCCGGUCAGUUAUCUGUAUUUGUAUGUCAACUACAGCAUCAAAAAGCAUAGGCAUGGAUACUAAGGACCCCCUCUGUACACCAACGCCAGUCCAAAGGACAGUGUGUCACUGUGAACUGGAAAUUCAUCUCUCUUCUUCAAUUUUUUUCUACCUACUUUAUGCUUUAUCUCUAAGUUGAGGCUGUUUAUGGCCUCAUCCUCAAUUACCUUGUCCCUC